UACGUAGGUGACAAGCGUUGUCCGGAUUUACUGGGCGUAAAGAGCGCGCAGGCGGUCGAUCAAGUCGAGUGUGAAAGCCCCCGGCUCAACUGGGGAGGGUCAUUCGAUACUGAUCGACUCGAAGGCAGGAGAGGGUAGUGGAAUUCCCGGUGUAGUGGUGAAAUGCGUAGAUAUCGGGAGGAACACCAAUGGCGAAGGCAGCUCGCUGGGACGGUACUGACGCUGAGGCGCGAAAGCGUGGGGAGCAAACAGG
rnacentral:rRNA from 1 species